rnacentral:rRNA from 1 species
GCGUGUGUGAGAAGGCCUUCAGGGUCUGUAAAGCACUUUCAGCUGGGGAGGAAGGCGGCGAGGUUAAUAAGCUUGUCGAUUGACGUUACCCGCAGAAGAAGCACCGGCUAACUCCGUGCCAGCAGCCGCGGUAAU